CUACAGAAUAAGGACACUCCUUGGCCCCAAGCCAGCCCCAGCUUGCUCGGGAGCCUGGGUUUCCCCCUCCGUCCCCAUCACCGCGAGGGUCUGUGCAUGGGAAUCUGCUCCAGAGGCUCCCUCAGGCGCCGCGCCGCGGGGAUACGCCUUUCACCGCCCCAGCAAUUGGAGCGCUGAGUCGAAGUCCUGAUUCCACGAUAGGCGGAUGAAGCCCUAACGCUGAAAUUCUUUCCUCUAGGUCUUUGGCAGCGGCUGGGGCCAAAGCCCGGGCAAGACCAACGCCUUCGGCACCCGGACUCAGGCUCCGUCCUCUCUGCCAGCGUGCGGCUACAAUGACUCGACAUGGCAGGCCACUGCCUUCAGAGAAGGUGACAGAGGGCCAUGUCUGAAACAUUCUCCCACAACCAGGAACCCUCAGCAGCCGCUGAAGAGGAAAGGCAGUUAAAUGGAAAGACUUCUGAGCAAGUGGAGGAAAAGUCACGUGUGACCUAGGGAGGGGCUCCCACAGGAAGGGGCAAUGCCCUUGCCCUGUUCACCUAGCCUCCAGGUGGCUUCCCACUUGAAAUUUCAGAGGAUGGCAGAAACCUACUUACAAGGAAAUGAAAGAGGGCACAGCAACCUUAAGACCAGAGCAGCCCACGAUAUUUUUUAAUGAGGGCAAAAAUAGAAGACUUGCAAAAGACCCCUGAAAAUAAUGCCUGGAAGCUGCGAAACAUCAGACUGACACCGCACAAAAGAGGUCCAGCUGAGCAGGAGAAAAGCUUGAGAAGCAUCCAGAACAAUGUAGGUGGAGAGGCUAAGAAGAAAGAGGAGCCCACAUGGAAUGAAUAACCAAGGUCGGGACAGAGGAAGGUUCGCCAGAACUGGGAGGGCUGAAAUUGGAC
rnacentral:lncRNA from 1 species